GUCGAGCGGAUGAAGGGAGCUUGCUCCUGGAUUCAGCGGCGGACGGGUGAGUACUUUUUAGGAAUCUGCCUGGUAGUGGGGGAUAACGUCCGGAAACGGGCGCUAAUACCGCAUACGUCCUGAGGGAGAAAGUGGGGGAUCUUCGGACCUCACGCUAUCAGAUGAGCCUAGGUCGGAUUAGCUAGUUGGUGGGGUAAAGGCCUACCAAGGCGACGAUCCGUAACUGGUCUGAGAGGAUGAUCAGUCACACUGGAACUGAGACACGGUCCAGACUCCUACGGGAGGCAGCAGUGGGGAAUAUUGGACAAUGGGCGAAAGCCUGAUCCAGCCAUGCCGCGUGUGUGAAGAAGGUCUUCGGAUUGUAAAGCACUUUAAGUUGGGAGGAAGGGCAGUAAGUUAAUACCUUGCUGUUUUGACGUUACCAACAGAAUAAGCACCGGCUAACUUCGUGCCAGCAGCCGCGGUAAUACGAAGGGUGCAAGCGUUAAUCGGAAUUACUGGGCGUAAAGCGCGCGUAGGUGGUUCAGCAAGUUGGAUGUGAAAUCCCCGGGCUCAACCUGGGAACUGCAUCCAAAACUACUGAGCUAGAGUACGGUAGAGGGUGGUGGAAUUUCCUGUGUAGCGGUGAAAUGCGUAGAUAUAGGAAGGAACACCAGUGGCGAAGGCGACCACCUGGACUGAUACUGACACUGAAGUGCGAAAGCGUGGGGAGCAAACAGGAUUAGAUACCCUGGUAGUCCACGCCGUAAACGAUGUCGACUAGCCGUUGGGAUCCUUGAGAUCUUAGUGGCGCAACUAACGCGAUAAGUCGACCGCCUGGGGAGUACGGCCGCAA
rnacentral:rRNA from 1 species